CAAGGACCGUUUGUCUGAACACAAUAGCACCCUCUCACUGUGCUUAGGGAGAAGCCUGUCCCGUACAUCACGUAUCCCUGUCAUACGCCUACUACAGCAGGCAACACAGAACAUAUAUACUGCACAUAAGCUUGCUCAGAAGUUAUACUCCUGUGGCAUUCACCACUAACAGAAGUUAGAAAUGGUGUGCUCCAUGAUGUGACUGCAGAGUUCAGCUGGCUUGAAGCAUCAGUGUGAAAGUAGUGCAACUGCCCAGGCUUUACAGCAGUGUUCAGGACUGACACUGGCUAGUAGCUUAUUUCCUGCUACAAGGAAAGAUGCUGAAUGGACUCAAGGAAACCAUUACAAGACAGAGACGUGUGCCAUGGUGAGAGACGGGCAGCCUGGGAGACCUGCUUCUAUGUGAAACUGGAGUUGUUAGGGGCCAAUGCUUUGCAAAAUCGUCAUAGACUAUAAGACAUAAAAAAAUUGUGGAAAUGAAAAAUGCUUUUGUCCACUUGGUAACAGUGUUAUUU
ensembl:lncRNA